UCGCUUAGGUGGCACAUAUACUAAAAUCGGAAUGCUGUAAAGAAGAUUAACAUGAACCCUGCUCAUGGAUGACAUGCAAAUUUGUGAAACAUUCCGUAUUUUU